AUACGGAGGGUGCAAGCGUUAAUCGGAAUUACUGGGCGUAAAGGGCGCGUAGGCGGUCUAUCAAGUCAGGUGUGAAAUCCCACGGCUCAACCGUGGAGGUGCAUCUGAAACUGAUAGACUUGAGUAUGGGAGAGGAAAGUGGAAUUCCGGUGUAGAGGUGAAAUUCGUAGAUAUCGGGAGGAACACCAGUGGCGAAGGCGACUUUCUGGACCAAUACUGACGCUGAGGCGCGAAAGCGUGGGGAGCAAACAGGAUUAGAAACCCUAGUAGUCC
rnacentral:rRNA from 1 species